UACAGAGGUCUCAAGCGUUGUUCGGAUUCAUUGGCGUAAAGGGUGCGUAGGUGGUGAUGCAAGUCUGGUGUGAAAUCUCGGAGCUCAACUCCGAAAUUGCACCGGAUACUGCGUGACUCGAGGACUGUAGAGGAGAUCGGAAUUCACGGUGUAGCAGUGAAAUGCGUAGAUAUCGUGAGGAAGACCAGGUUGCGAAGGCGGAUCUCUGGACAGUUCCUGACACUGGAGGC
rnacentral:rRNA from 1 species